GAUGAACGCUGGCGGCGUGCCUAAUACAUGCAAGUCGAGCGAACAGACGAGGAGCUUGCUCCUCUGACGUUAGCGGCGGACGGGUGAGUAACACGUGGAUAACCUACCUAUAAGACUGGGAUAACUUCGGGAAACCGGUGCUAAUACCGGAUAAUAUCUUGAACCGCAUGGUUCAAUAGUGAAAGACGGUUUUGCUGUCACUUAUAGAUGGAUCCGCGCCGUAUUAGCUAGUUGGUAAGGUAACGGCUUACCAAGGCGACGAUGCGUAGCCGACCUGAGAGGGUGAACGGCCACACUGGAACUGAGACGCGGUCCAGACUCCUAGGGGAGGCAGCAGUAGGGAAUCGUGCGCAAUGGGCGGAAUCCUGACGGAGCAGCGGCGCGUGGGUGAUGCAGGUCUUCGGAUCGGAUAACUCCGUUAGGGUGGAAGACCAAAUGUGUAAGGAACGAUGCACGUCGUGACGGUACCUACACAGGAAGCACCGGCUAACUACGUG
rnacentral:rRNA from 1 species